UACGUAGGGGGCGAGCGUUGUCCGGAUUUAUUGGGCGUAAAGAGCUCGUAGGCGGUUUGGCAAGUCGGGUGUGAAAACUCCGGGCUCAACUCGGAGACGCCACUCGAUACUGCCAUGACUCGAGUCCGGUAGGGGAGUGCGGAAUUCCUGGUGUAGCGGUGAAAUGCGCAGAUAUUGGGAAGAACACCGGUGGCGAAGGCGGCGACCUGGUCCUUUACUGACGCUGAGGCGCGAAAGCUAGGGGAGCGAACGGG
rnacentral:rRNA from 1 species